CAGUGACCGGAUGCUCGGUGGUUGGUCUGCAGGUUGACGGGCAGCAGGUGAGAGGCGGCGGGUUCAGGUGAAUCCUCUUUAUUUACCUUCUGGGGCUGGAACGCGAGGACCGGACCGCGACAUGAGUUCACCGGUGAUAACGAAACCAAGGAUAUCACGAUGUGUCCUUCUGCUGCUGCAGCGUCUGGAGUCCUGAGUGGAACUGCACUGAGAGACGAAACCUGAGACAAUCCCUCUGCAAUUGGAAGAGGAUGGUACGUCCCGCGGUGCUUUUGUUUCCUGUGCGAGGAAAACUUCAAUCACUUCAACGCUCCGUCUUCAUUGGUCCGUCCAGGGUUCCAUGAGGUUCCUCUAGGUGUCCACCGAUUGGUUCUUCGUUCCACUUGGAAGACUUGUCAGCCAAUCGGCCUCU